UUAAGGUUCAUCUAUUUUAUGGACUGUUUCUGUUCUUUAUAUGCCUCAAUAUCUGCAUAAUGUCGAAUUCGUGUCGGAAAUGUGAUUAUGCUCAAGCAAAUUGAGCCAACAGGAAAAGUGGCUUUUGAUGAUAUUUGACCUGCAUGUUGGAGCAAUAGUUUAUUCCAUAGAACCGCAAAGUGCAAAAACGCUGCCAAGAAAGCACCAAAUAGAGCAAAAUAAAUAUACAGGGUGCUUUAAACAAAAGCUAUCAACUUCAAAAGGUAUUUUGUGAUUAAACGUGAAGUGGCAAGUUGACAAUUAGAAAGCUAUAUGAAAAAUGCGGAGAUAGUGAAGAAUUUGUAAUAAAUUAGGUACCUAAUGUUGCAAAUAAGUAGAUGGUGCAAUAAAUUACCAUUCUCAUUGAUGAUUCAUUCAUGUGAAACUUUUGAAAAACCUCUAAAACGAAUGUAUUUAAAAAUGUUACGCAAAGUAUUGCGGGUCGAAAAGCAGCAAUUUAAAGAACGUUUCAAUGUUGCAAUGAUAAAAGACAAUUCAUUUAUUUAUUAUAUUAUAAUCAUCACGAGCAGAAAAUUGUACAGGCAUGAAAUUCUUUAUGUGAAAAUGCAUCUGCUUAUUCGUACGACAUUGAUAUGUUCUUCAUUAGUCUAAAUAAUAAGUUUAUUUCUUACGAUUUGUUCAUAUUUCGUGUAUGAAUGUAAAGGGACUGAAAUAAAAGCGAGUGUCAAAACUUAUUUUAAUAACUUA